ACGCUCGACACCUACGGGAGGCAGCAGUGGGGAAUAUUGCACAAUGGGGGAAACCCUGAUGCAGCAACGCCGCGUGAAGGAAGACGGUUUUCGGAUUGUAAACUUCUGUUCUUAGUGAAGAUAGUGACGGUAGCUAAGGAGCAAGCCACGGCUAACUACGCGCCAGCAGCCGCGGUAAUCUGAGCGGGCUGGCAAGGC
rnacentral:rRNA from 1 species